rfam:Treponema socranskii subsp. socranskii VPI DR56BR1116 = ATCC 35536 strain VPI DR56BR1116 ctg120007787841, whole genome shotgun sequence.
GGAAGCGUGGUAGAGCGGUAAUACAACGGAUUGCUAAUCCGUCAGUUCCGUAAGGGCUGGGCAGGUUCGACUCCUGUCGCUUCCG